GAUGAACGCUGGCGGUAUGCUUAACACAUGCAAGUCGAACGGGGUGCAUAGUCACCUAGUGGCGGACGGGUGAGUAACGCGUGAGAAUCUGGCCUCAGGUCCGGGACAACCACGGGAAACGGUGGCUAAUACCGGAUGUGCCAUAUUGGUGAAAGAUUAAUUGCCUGAGGAUGAGCUCGCGUCUGAUUAGCUAGUUGGUGGGGUAAAGGCUUACCAAGGCGACGAUCAGUAACUGGUCUGAGAGGAUGACCAGUCACACUGGGACUGAGACACGGCCCAGACUCCUACGGGAGGCAGCAGUGGGGAAUUUUCCGCAAUGGGCGAAAGCCUGACGGAGCAAUACCGCGUGAGGGAGGAAGGCUCUUGGGGUGUAAACCUCUUUUCUCAGGGAAGAAGAAUGACGGUACCUGAGGAAUCAGCAUCGGCUAACUCCGUG
rnacentral:rRNA from 1 species